UAAUACGUAGGUGGCGAGCGUUGUCCGGAAUCACUGGGCGUAAAGGGCGCGUAGGCGGUUGUACAAGUCGCAUGUGAAAUACCAGGGCUCAACUCUGGGGGGUCAUGCGAAACUGUAUAACUUGAGUGCAGUAGAGGAAAGCGGAAUUCCUGGUGUAGCGGUAAAAUGCGUAGAGAUCAGGAGGAACACCGGUGGCGAAGGCGGCUUUCUGGGCUGUAACUGACGCUGAGGCGCGAAAGCGUGGGGAGCAAACAGG
rnacentral:rRNA from 1 species